rnacentral:rRNA from 1 species
GAUGAACGCUGGCGGCGUGCCUAAUACAUGCAAGUCGAGCGAACAGAUGAGGAGCUUGCUCCUCUGACGUUAGCGGCGGACGGGUGAGUAACACGUGGAUAACCUACCUAUAAGACUGGGAUAACUUCGGGAAACCGGAGCUAAUACCGGAUAAUAUAUCGAACCGCAUGGUUCAAUAGUGAAAGACGGUUUUGCUGUCACUUAUAGAUGGAUCCGCGCCGCAUUAGCUAGUUGGUAAGGUAAAGGCUUACCAAGGCAACGAUGCGUAGCCGACCUGAGAGGGUGAACGGCCACACUGGAACUGAGACACGGUCCAGACUCCUACGGGAGGCAGCAGUAGGGAAUCUUCCGCAAUGGGCGAAAGCCUGACGGAGCAACGCCGCGUGAGUGAUGAAGGUCUUCGGAUCGUAAAACUCUGUUAUUAGGGAAGAACAAAUGUGUAAGUAACUAUGCACGUCUUGACGGUACCUAAUCAGAAAGCCACGGCUAACUACGUG